GAUGAACGCUAGCGGCAGGCUUAAUACAUGCAAGUCGAGGGGUAGCAAGAUUGUAGCAAUACAAUUGUUGACGACCGGCAAACGGGUGCGGAACACGUACACAACCUUCCUACAAGUGGGGAAUAGCCCAGAGAAAUUUGGAUUAAUACCCCGUAACAUAGCGAUGUGGCAUCACAUUGCUAUUAUAGCUUCGGCGCUUGUUGAUGGGUGUGCGGCUGAUUAGAUAGUUGGCGGGGUAACGGCCCACCAAGUCUACGAUCAGUAGCUGAUGUGAGAGCAUGAUCAGCCAAACGGGAACUGAGACACGGGCCCGACUCCUACGGGAGGCAGCAGUAAGGAAUAUUGGACAAUGGACGCAAGUCUGAUCCAGCCAUGCCGCGUGAAGGAUUAAGGUCCUCUGGAUUGUAAACUUCUUUUAUAAGGGACGAAAAAAGGUCUUUCUAGAUCGUCUAACGGUACCUUAUGAAUAAGCACCGGCUAACUCCGUGCCAGCAGCCGCGGUAAGAC
rnacentral:rRNA from 1 species